GAGAGUAAGUGUCACAGAAGGGAAAUGAUUCAGGUGAACAAUAUAAACGAGGAUUAUUUACAGGAUGGCAGGCUUGGAGUCGGAGACCACAGACGGCAAACAGGAUGAAGGAACCAGACGAGGAACCAGGAGCCACCACACUAGGAGAGACAUGGAAGACACUGGAGACAUUGGAAAGAACCACAUGGAGAAAAAGGGAAUCACACACCUCAGCACCAACUGGAUGCUUUUCUUUUUUAGGUAAUGGAGAGAGAGCAGGCAGAAGAGGGAGACUCACAAGAGCAUCGGUGGACAUUUACCUAAAAAAUGCUGGAGGACUCUGUCAGUGCUGUCUAUAGCUUUUGUCUUUUGCAGGUUGGAGUGGAGCAGAUGAAGGAGACUCACAAGGGGAACAGUAGAGAUAUACUUGAAGACCUGGAGCUCAGG